AAGGAGUCUAACGUCUAUGCAAGUGUUUGGGUGUAAAACCCGUACGCGUAAUGAAAGUGAACGUAGGUGAGAGCCUUUUAGGUGCAUCAUCGACCGAUCCUGAUGUCUUCGGAUGGAUUUGAGUAAGAGACUAGCUGUUGGGACCCGAAAGAUGGUGAGCUAUGCCUGAAUAGGGCGAGGCCAGAGGAAACUCUGGUGGAGGGUCGUAGCGGUUCUGACGUGCAAAUCGAUCGUCAAAUUUGGGUAUAGGGGCGAAAGACUAAUCGAACCAUCUGGUAGCUGGUUCCUG
rnacentral:misc_RNA from 1 species